rnacentral:misc_RNA from 1 species
AAGACUAUAGACCUGCGGAGUACCUGCGGAAGGAUCAUUAUCGUAUUGUAACAAUUGGGGGGGCCACCGUGGGCUGUCGCUGACCCUUUGAAAGGGGGGUCGUGCACGCCCCCAUAGUGUCAUCCUCAUACAAUCCAACUCACCUCUGUGCAUCACCGCGUGGGUUCCUUUCUGGGUCGAGUCAGACUGGCUCAGAAAAAUGGGGCUUGCGUUUUCCAUACAAAUACCCUUAUAAAUCCA